CACUGCUGACAAAUGAAAGGUAAAGACAGAGAAAUGUUUAACAAUAUUCAAACUUUAUUGGUUUAACAUUGUGAAACUAAAGGCAACACUAGAAAACAAGGCAAAAAAAAAAAAUAAACAGUUUGGAAAAGAAGGGCACAAAAUAAGCACAAAACAUUUCAGGAGGCAUUGUGGCACCUGCAAGUGUCUACAUAUGGGUGUGUGUGUGUGUGUGUGUGUGUGUGUGUGUGUGUGUGUGUGUGUGUGUGUGUGUGUGUGUGUGUGUGUGUGUGGUCUAUGUGUGUGUAGUGUGUGUGUGUUAAUGUGGGGUGAGAGCAAAGCCAAAAACUUGUACCUACAAGACUGACGGCCUGUAACACAACUGGUAGAAGUAUGGCACUACAAUGUGUGCGCAUAGCAAUAAAGCCACAAGGCAAAAGAAUGGAAUCAAAAAGCUCUUUACUCAUCGCUCUUGGAACCGAACACUACAAGGCUGAAAACUGAUAGGAGAGUCCUCCAUGACCAAGCAAAUUUGGAUUUUGAAUUUAAAAUCCUGCAGGAGAAAAAAAACAAGUCAUUCAAUGCAACAGCUGAAAAUUACAACCAAAGUGGAGUUCAAGUUAUAGUGUGACUGUUUGCAUUACGGAGGAAAUGAUGCAGUAAAGAACCCUAGAGGUGUGUGGCUGCGGAUACGUUACCAAUGAGUUAUUUUAUCGCAAUAGGCUAGCGACGAGGUGUCCAAGCUAUGGCCAGGCCAGAUGUAGUUGAAGAUCUGUGCCAAACAAUAGCUGCUCAUAUCAACCUACCAGCAUUUACACAUAACACCCGUAAUUCAAAUGUGUAACUGGUCAAAAUGUAGGUAAUUAAAUGCAGCUGAAAAGCAGCCCUAAGUAUUCCGAGUACAUCUAACAAUUUUUCACUUAUCAAACAAAAGCAGCCUGAUAAUUGCCCAGACAGCCUGUCACCAGCAAUUGCUCUGUGGAUUUGAUCAAAAAGUUAAGGCUGAGCGUGACAAAACAGACAUUUAAGCAGAAUACAACACAGAAAACCACUUCACAGGGGUCUGAAAGUGCUGAGUCCCAUCGAUAUUUAAUAGGUGUGGCAUAUCAUCUUACAAACUACAACUAUAUAUGAAUAUUAACUGAAUAAGGCACUUUUCCUUAAGAGGUGCAGGGACUGAGUAACUUGUUGGAGAAGCUGCAGAGAGGCAACACAAUGGACAUCUAUUGGUAUAAACGGAUACCAGACGUGUUUUGACACACCACGAUGUCAACAUGUGAUGCUGUGUUGUUAAGGAAUGCAGCUUCCAUGUCGAAAGCAGAGAGCACUCUGACUGACUAGAUUCAGUGGGUACACAGCGUACCAGUCAACAGCUGUGAAUUAAACUCAAAUACGUCUCUAAAUUUGGGGUGAAGGGACUCCUCAUGCAGAGAAUGAACAAAUGGGUGCAGCUAAGGCAAAACUCUGUAGCCUACUCGCCAUACUCGGGUCUUUGGGCUGUAGCCUAAUGCCACCAGGUGACUGUAGGUUAAAAGGCGUGUUGAUGGUGAGCAGCAGAAAACAUGUAAUCCUAAAUUACACAAGCCAAAACAAACAGGAAAAAAACAAGCAAACAUCUGCACUCAUGAGUUUCUAACUGUUGGUGGUCAUACAAAACAAAGUGAUUAUUCAUCCAUUAUCUAGUUAAUAUUCAAGAGUGUUUAUACAAGCAUCAGAUUUGUUUCUUCUUUUUUUUUUGGCUGAAACCAUUAAAACAUUUACAAAGACAAAGUUACAAAACAAAGCUUGUCAGUGCAAUGCUCAAUUUCCAUGCCAAAACUGAGGACUUUGGCUUAAUGCACACUGUUUCAAGGCAUUCUUUCAACUAGCAUAUGGGCUAAUCACAACUAAUCAAGUGGUUUUAAGUGUGUCUAAACCCUUAAGAGCAUAUGCAAUGGGAGGAAAAAUCACAACUCCAAGCAUCCAGCAUGCAAUAAUGACAAAAAAAAAAAAAAA